AUCCGUCUAUUCUGUUUCAUUUCAGUUCAUUUUUACUCUGGUUUAUUCAUUCAUGUUGGUUUGUUUUUUUACCAGGUUUGCUUAUUUGGUCAAGUUCUUUCCAGUUUGUUCUUUGACCAGGUUCCUCUUUUGGUUUGGAUGUCUUUUGCUCUCCUCCUGUUUCUCGCCGCCCCCCUCCUUUCCUCCUUCCUUCAUUGCUUUGACCUGGGACGUUCAGCAUUAACCCCGUCUCUUCCCUCUCUCUCAGCGUGGAGGGCGACUCUCAGUGUCCGGAGGCGCUCACGUUCCUGAGUCAUCCUUUGGACAUCCACCAGCUUCCAUCGCUAUAGCAACAGCCCCCUGUGCAGCCCCUGCGACCCCUACAGCUUCCCCCCUCCACCAGCGGUCCCUGGGAGCUCCCCCACACUCACACUCAGGUACUCGCACGUCAUGUUCACUGCUUGUUGUGCUGUGAGGAAUCUGAUUGUGACCAGCUGUAGAAACAUUCGUGGGAACAUAUAUCUGCGGAUGAUGACACUAGGACACUGUCACAUCUUCCAAACGUGCUCUGGGAUGUCUGGGACGGGUUCACACAGUUCUAGCAACAGGCUCAAUGUCAAUAAGACCUAAAAGGUGUAAUGUAUGUGAGGAGAACGUAUCGUCACUGUCAAUCUCAGAAACACACCUGUCCCGCCCCCUCCCAGGGCAGCUCUCCCAUCUCCCCCCCCAGCCCGGCGAGCCUCACCUGGGCUCAGCGCAGCCGGCACCAGCCUGCCAGCCUGGCGCUGCGGAAGCAGGAGGAGGAGGAGAGCAAACGCUGCAAGGCUCUAUCCGACAGCUAUGAGCUCUCUUACGGACCUCCAGGACAAGAAGGUGGAGAUGCUGGAGAGGAAGUACGGGGGCCCGUUUGUGUCCCGGCGGGCUGCGAAGACCAUCCAGACGGCAUUCAGGGCAGUACCGCAUGAACAAGAACUUUGAGAAGCUUCGUAGCUCCGCCUCCGAGAGCAGGAUGACCCGGCGCAUCAUCCUGUCCAACAUGAGGCUGCAGGUGACGCUCGUCCAGCGCGCCCGGUGUCGUCCUAGCUGCUGAAACCCUGACUUCACGCUCUGUGUGUUUCUCCCCAUGCUCAGUACUCGUUUGACGAGCGUCAGCCACAGGGUCAGGGGUCGGCGGGUCCGCAGGGGUCCGAGGACGCCGGCGACAUGGACGACUCCUUCUCCAAGCAGGUAAACAGCAGCGACGCUGACCUCAACAUUGCAGAUGAAGCUGACAGAUGUGAGAUGACAUAAGUCGACAGUCCACAUAUCGGCUGCAUGUGGCGAUCA
rnacentral:lncRNA from 1 species